rnacentral:piRNA from 1 species
GGAGUAUCAAGAGACUUAGAACCCCAC